CUCCUUCCCACCAGCUCAGACCUGCUCCUCCUGCCAAGCCCCUCCCUGAGCUGAAGCCCAAGCAGGGUAUGAGGCCGACCUUCCCACCCCCGAUGCCACCGGUCAAGCCUGGGGCUGGAGGGGCCAACCCUGGACCCACGCAGGGCGCCGUGGGUCCGAAGGCUGCUCUGAAGCCCCCCGUGCAGAGGCGGUGACGCCGGGCUGCGGACGCCGGGCCUGAGCGGGGAGGGGCCCGGCCCUGCCCCCCGCCCCUGCCCCCUGCCNC
rnacentral:lncRNA from 1 species